GCAUGAUCUAGGGCUGAAGCUGUCCGGGGUGUGGACCACCGUGGCUUCGACGGGUAGCCGGCCUGAGAGGGUGACCGGCCACAUUGGGACUGAGAUACGGCCCAGACUCCUACGGGAGGCAGCAGUGGGGAAUAUUGCACAAUGGGCGCAAGCCUGAUGCAGCGACGCCGCGUGAGGGAUGGAGGCCUUCGGGUUGUAAACCUCUUUUAUCGGGGAGCAAGCGAGAGUGAGUUUACCCGUUGAAUAAGCACCGGCUAACUACGUGCCAGCAGCCGCGGUAAUACGUAGGGUGCAAGCGUUAUCCGGAAUUAUUGGGCGUAAAGGGCUCGUAGGCGGUUCGUCGCGUCCGGUGUGAAAGUCCAUCGCUUAACGGUGGAUCCGCGCCGGGUACGGGCGGGCUUGAGUGCGGUAGGGGAGACUGGAAUUCCCGGUGUAACGGUGGAAUGUGUAGAUAUCGGGAAGAACACCAAUGGCGAAGGCAGGUCUCUGGGCCGUUACUGACGCUGAGGAGCGAAAGCGUGGGGAGCGAACAGGAUUAGAUACCCUGGUAGUCCACGCCGUAAACGGUGGAUGCUGGAUGUGGGGCCCGUUCCACGGGUUCCGUGUCGGAGCUAACGCGUUAAGCAUCCCGCCUGGGGAGUACGGCCGCAAGGCUAAAACUCAAAGAAAUUGACGGGGGCCCGCACAAGCGGCGGAGCAUGCGGAUUAAUUCGAUGCAACGCGAAGAACCUUACCUGGGCUUGACAUGUUCCCGACGGUCGUAGAGAUACGGCUUCCCUUCGGGGCGGGUUCACAGGUGGUGCAUGGUCGUCGUCAGCUCGUGUCGUGAGAUGCUGGGUUAAGUCCCGCAACGAGCGCANCCUCGCCCCGUGUUGCCAGCGGAUUAUGCCGGGAACUCACGGGGGAACCGCCGGGGUUAACUCGGAGGAGGGUGGGGAUGACGUCCGAUUCUCAUGCCCCUUACGUCCAGGGCUUCACGCUUGCUACAA
rnacentral:rRNA from 1 species